GGCCAGGGAUGUGCUCGCGGCCUAUCAGCUUGAUGGUGAGGUAAUGGCUCACCAUGGCUUCGACGGGUAGCCGGCCUGAGAGGGUGACCGGUCACACUGGGACUGAGACACGGCCCAGACUCCUACGGGAGGCAGCAGUGGGGAAUAUUGGACAAUGGGCGGAAGCCUGAUCCAGCAACGCCGCGUGAGGGAUGACGGCCUUCGGGUUGUAAACCUCUUUCAGUACCGACGAAGCGCAAGUGACGGUAGGUACAGAAGAAGCACCGGCCAACUACGUGCCAGCAGCCGCGGUAAUACGUAGGGUGCGAGCGUUGUCCGGAAUUAUUGGGCGUAAAGGGCUCGUAGGCGGUUUGUCGCGUCGGGAGUGAAAACCAGGUGCUUAACACCUGGCUUGCUUUCGAUACGGGCAGACUAGAGGUAUUCAGGGGAGAACGGAAUUCCUGGUGUAGCGGUGAAAUGCGCAGAUAUCAGGAGGAACACCGGUGGCGAAGGCGGUUCUCUGGGAAUAUCCUGACGCUGAGGAGCGAAAGUGUGGGGAGCGAACAGGAUUAGAUACCCUGGUAGUCCACACCGUAAACGUUGGGCGCUAGGUGUGGGGUCCAUUCCACGGAUUCCGUGCCGCAGCUAACGC
rnacentral:rRNA from 1 species